rnacentral:rRNA from 1 species
AACGAACGCUGGCGGCAUGCCUAACACAUGCAAGUCGAACGAGACCUUCGGGUCUAGUGGCGCACGGGUGCGUAACGCGUGGGAACCUGCCCUUAGGUUCGGAAUAACUCCCCGAAAGGGGUGCUAAUACCGGAUAAUGUCUUAGGACCAAAGAUUUAUCGCCUUUGGAUGGGCCCGCGUUGGAUUAGCUAGUUGGUAGGGUAAAAGCCUACCAAGGCGACGAUCCAUAGCUGGUCUGAGAGGAUGAUCAGCCACACUGGGACUGAGACACGGCCCAGACUCCUACGGGAGGCAGCAGUGGGGAAUAUUGGACAAUGGGCGAAAGCCUGAUCCAGCAAUGCCGCGCGAGUGAUGAAGGCCUUAGGGUUGUAAAGCUCUUUUACCCGGGAUGAUAAUGACAGUACCGGGAGAAUAAGCUCCGGCUAACUCCGUG